rnacentral:rRNA from 1 species
UACGAAGGGGGGCUAGCGUUGCUCGGAAUCACUGGGCGUAAAGCGCACGUAGGCGGCUUCUUUAGUCAGGGGUGAAAUCCUGGAGCUCAACUCCAGAACUGCCUUUGAUACUGAGGAGCUUGAGUCCGGGAGAGGUGAGUGGAACUGCGAGUGUAGAGGUGAAAUUCGUAGAUAUUGCAAGAACACCAGUGGCGAAGGCGGCUCACUGGCCCGGUACUGACGCUGAGGUGCGAAACGUGGGGACAA